rnacentral:ncRNA from 1 species
UAAUAUAUUUUAUUUUGGUAUUUCUAAUUUCUUGUUUAUUUUAUUUACAUGUAAGUUUUUACUUUUAAUUUUAAAAUGUUUAUUCAGUAAUUGUUAUUAAAUAUUAAUGUAAUUUAUAUUUAGAAAUAUAAUUUAAAAUUAACUUAUAUUGUGCCAGCAGUUGCGGUUAUACAAUAAAUUUGAAGAUAUUAUUUUAGUAGAUUAAUUAAUAAGUUUAUAUGAGGUUAAAAUUUUCAUUUCAAAGUAAAAUUUAAAUGUUUAUUUAUCUCUUUUAAAGAUUAAUUAAGAAAUUUGGCAUUUAACCAGGAUUAGAUACCCUGUUAUAAAUGAUGUAAAAUUUUCUGGAGUAGUAAACGUUUCGGUCUUCAAACUUAAAAAAUUUGGCGGUAUUUUAUCUUACUAGAGGAACUUGUUUAUUAAUUGAUAUCCCACAACUAAGAUUUACUUUUUUAGUUACUUGUAUAUCGCUGUCAUGAAUAUAUUUAAAGGUUUAUUUUCUAUUAUUUUAUGAAUUUUAUGUUAGGUCAAGGUGCAGUGUAAAAAAGAAAAAAAUGAGUUACAAUUAAAAUUAUGAAUGAAUUUUUAUUAUGUAGGAUAAUUUAAAAAAGGAUUUAGUAGUAAAUGUUAUUUAUAGUAAUUUUAUGAAAAAAGAUUCUAAAAUAUGUACAUAUUGCCCGUCACUCUUGUUUAAAAUAAGAUAAGUCGUAACAUAGUAAAUGUACCGGAAGGUGUAUUUGGAAAGA